rnacentral:rRNA from 1 species
UGCAGUCGAGCGGUAGCACAGAGGAGCUUGCUCCUUGGGUGACGAGCGGCGGACGGGUGAGUAAUGUCUGGGAAACUGCCUGAUGGAGGGGGAUAACUACUGGAAACGGUAGCUAAUACCGCAUAACCUCGCAAGAGCAAAGAGGGGGACCUUAGGGCCUCUCGCCAUCAGAUGUGCCCAGAUGGGAUUAGCUAGUAGGUGAGGUAAUGGCUCACCUAGGCGACGAUCCCUAGCUGGUCUGAGAGGAUGACCAGCCACACUGGAACUGAGACACGGUCCAGACUCCUACGGGAGGCAGCAGUGGGGAAUAUUGCACAAUGGGCGCAAGCCUGAUGCAGCCAUGCCGCGUGUGUGAAGAAGGCCUUCGGGUUGUAAAGCACUUUCAGCGAGGAGGAAGGCGGUAAGGUUAAUAACCUUAUCGAUUGACGUUACUCGCAGAAGAAGCACCGGCUAACUCCGUGCCAGCAGCCGCGGUAAUACGGAGGGUGCAAGCGUUAAUCGGAAUGACUGGGCGUAAAGCGCACGCAGGCGGUCUGUUAAGUUGGAUGUGAAAUCCCCGGGCUUAACCUGGGAACUGCAUUCAAAACUGACAGGCUAGAGUCUUGUAGAGGGGGGUAGAAUUCCAGGUGUAGCGGUGAAAUGCGUAGAG